ACGGGAGGCAGCAGUGAGGAAUAUUGGUCAAUGGGCGGAAGCCUGAACCAGCCAAGUCGCGUGAGGGAAGACGGCCCUACGGGUUGUAAACCUCUUCUGCGCGGGGGUAAAGUCGGGGACGUGUCCCCGAUUGCAAGUACCGCGCGAAAAAGGAUCGGCUAACUCCGUGCCAGCAGCCGCGGUAAUACGGAGGAUCCGAGUGUUAUCCGGAUUUAUUGGGUUUAAAGGGUGCGCAGGCGGGAUGUCAAGUCAGUGGUGAAAUGGUGCGGCUCAACCGUAGCAUUGCCGUUGAAACUGGCGUCCUUGAGUGCGAAUGAAGUUGGCGGAAUGUGAUGUGUAGCGGUGAAAUGCUUAGAUAUGUCACAGAACACCGAUUGCGAAGGCAGCUGACUAAUCCGCAACUGACGCUCAGGCACGAAAGCGUGGGGAUCGAACAGGAUUAGAUACCCUGGUA
rnacentral:rRNA from 1 species